UACGGGGGGGGCAAGCGUUGUUCGGAAUUACUGGGCGUAAAGGGCUCGUAGGCGGCCAACUAAGUCAGACGUGAAAUCCCUCGGCUUAACCGGGGAACUGCGUCUGAUACUGGAUGGCUUGAGUUUGGGAGAGGGAUGCGGAAUUCCAGGUGUAGCGGUGAAAUGCGUAGAUAUCUGGAGGAACACCAAUGGCGAAGGCAGCACUCUGGGACGUGACUGACGCUGAGACGCGAAAGCGUGGGGAGCAAACAGG
rnacentral:rRNA from 1 species